GGCGGGUGUGUUUAUUCAGUCCCGGUUCUUUGUCACUUCUUGAGACUCACCAGGGAGAAAUAUGAGUGGGCAAGUGGCAUCAACAUUGGGACCUACAAAGCAAGAUUGCUCCCAGGUGGAUGAACCUGUGGUUGAGCAGCAGCACAGUGUUGAGCAAUCUCAACAAGAAGAACCACCAGCUGAGAUUCAGGAUAUCACACCUAGAAAGGAGGAAGUACAUGGAGAGGAUCCAGUGAAUCGUGAUGAAGAAGAGGAGAAGGAUCCCUUUGAAGAUUCUGGCCUGGAAGCUGAUCUCCAGCGAUUGGCUCUGGCAAAGACUGGGGGUGAAGGUGGAGAUGGUCCCGAUGUCAGGGAGGAGUUUGCGUCAAAUAUAGAGCCUGUUGAAAUGCCAGAAGCAGGUAUGUCAUCCAUUCAGAAAGUAAUUUAUGUGGUUUCUGUUUUUCAGAAUAUUAUAUCUUUACUAAUAUAGAGGGAACAUUACUAUUAUUUUAAUAAUAGAGUUCACAUAUUCUUUGAAAGGUAGUUCAGACCCCAGAUACCUGAGUGCCUGACUUAUAGACUUUCAAAUAAAGAAACAGACAGGAUCA
rnacentral:lncRNA from 1 species